rnacentral:rRNA from 1 species
AGUGAACGCUGGCGGUAGGCCUAACACAUGCAAGUCGAACGGCAGCACAGUAAGAGCUUGCUCUUACGGGUGGCGAGUGGCGGACGGGUGAGGAAUACAUCGGAAUCUACUUUUUCGUGGGGGAUAACGUAGGGAAACUUACGCUAAUACCGCAUACGACCUACGGGUGAAAGCAGGGGAUCUUCGGACCUUGCGCGAUUGAAUGAGCCGAUGUCGGAUUAGCUAGUUGGCGGGGUAAAGGCCCACCAAGGCGACGAUCCGUAGCUGGUCGGAGAGGAUGAUCAGCGACACUGGAACUGAGACACGGUCCAGACUCCUAAGGGAGGCAGCAGUGGGGAAUAGUAGACAAUGGGCGCAAGCAUGAUCCAGCCAUACCGCGUGGGUGAAGAAGGCCUUCGGGUUGUAAAGCCCUUUUGUUGGGAAAGAAAAGCAGCAGGUUAAGACCCAGCUGUUCUGACGGUACCCAAAGAAUAAGCACCGGCUAACUUCGUG